GAUGUUAUUUACUCGCUUGAGAAUAGGACAUACAGGUUUAUACUAUACACUGCACUGAAGAGGGAAACACCCAGCCGGUCCACCAUCCACUCAUGUAGGUGGCGGUAAUGCACUUGUAAGUGUGGUUUGCCAACCACCAUUGACCUCCAACGAAGAAGAAGCUAGAGCAGGGAUGCUUCAGCGUUUACUUACCAUAACGACGGCAGUUCAAACUGAGGUGAGGCGGUCUGCAGUAAACCGGACUAACCGACAGAAGGCCCUGAGGCGUAGUUGCACUUUUUUUCCUGCAGAUGACCCUGAUGCAGCAACACAACUAAACCAGGAUUGGAAACCUGUCCCAUCAUCUCAUCUUUGUAAAUCUCCAACAACUCGAAGGAGCUGCCCUCAAAUUCAGACUUCAGCACGAUCCAGUGACAGCAGACAAAUCUUCCCAUAUUUUAACCGUUAAUGCUGAAUACACUCAUUUAAUAUUGUAGUG